GACGAACGCUGGCGGCGUGCUUAACACAUGCAAGUCGAACGGAAAGGCCCUGCUUUUGUGGGGUGCUCGAGUGGCGAACGGGUGAGUAACACGUGAGUAACCUGCCCUUGACUUUGGGAUAACUUCAGGAAACUGGGGCUAAUACCGGAUAGGAGCUCCUGCUGCAUGGUGGGGGUUGGAAAGUUUCGGCGGUUGGGGAUGGACUCGCGGCUUAUCAGCUUGUUGGUGGGGUAGUGGCUUACCAAGGCUUUGACGGGUAGCCGACCUGAGAGGGUGACCGGCCACAUGGGGACUAAGAGACGGCCCAGACUGCUACGGGAGGCAGCAGUGGAGAAUAUUGCGCAGUGGGCGGAAGCCUGAUGCAGAGACGCCGCGUGCGGGAUGACGGCCUUCGGGUUGUAAACCGCUUUCGCCUGUGACGAAGCGUGAGUGACGGUAAUGGGUAAGGAAGCACCGGCUAACUACGUG
rnacentral:rRNA from 1 species